GACGAACGCUGGCGGCGUGCUUAACACAUGCAAGUCGAACGGAAAGGCCCUGCUUGCAGGGUACUCGAGUGGCGAACGGGUGAGUAACACGUGGGUGAUCUGCCCUGCACUUCGGGAUAAGCCUGGGAAACUGGGUCUAAUACCGGAUAGGAGCCAUUUUUAGUGUGAUGGUUGGAAAGUUUUUUCGGUGUAGGAUGAGCUCGCGGCCUAUCAGCUUGUUGGUGGGGUAAUGGCCUACCAAGGCGGCGACGGGUAGCCGGCCUGGGAGGGUGGACGGCCACAUUGGGACUGAGAUACGGCCCAGACUCCUACGGGAGGCAGCAGUGGGGAAUAUUGCACAAUGGGCGCAAGCCUGAUGCAGCGACGCCGCGUGGGGGAUGACGGCCUUCGGGUUGUAAACUCCUUUCGCUAGGGACGAAGCUUUUGUGACGGUACCUAGAUAAGAAGCACCGGCUAACUACGUGCCAGCCGCCGCAGUAA
rnacentral:rRNA from 1 species